rnacentral:rRNA from 1 species
GACAGGGGGCUCGAGCGUUAAUCGGAAUCACUGGGCUUAAAGGGUGCGUAGGCGGGCCAGUAAGCGUCUUGUGAAAUCCCCCCGGCUCAACCGGGGAACCGCGGGGCGAACUGCUGGUCUAGAGGAAGCUAGAGGCGGGUAGAACGAUAGGUGGAGCGGUGGAAUGCGUAGAUAUCUAUCGGAAUGCCGAAAGUGAAAGACAG